rnacentral:rRNA from 1 species
UUGAACGCUGGCGGCAUGCUUUACACAUGCAAGUCGAACGGCAGCGGGGAGGAGCUUGCUUCUCUGCCGGCGAGUGGCGAACGGGUGAGUAAUACAUCGGAACGUGUCGAGAAGAGGGGGAUAACCACCCGAAAGGGUGGCUAAUACCGCAUAAAUUCUGAGGAAGAAAGCUGGGGACCUGGGAAUAGGCCUAGCGCUUUUUGAGCGGCCGAUGUCGGAUUAGCUAGUUGGUGAGGUAAAGGCUCACCAAGGCGAAGAUCUGUAGCGGGUCUGAGAGGAUGGUCCGCCACACUGGGACUGAGACACGGCCCAGACUCCUACGGGAGGCAGCAGUGGGGAAUUUUGGACAAUGGGGGCAACCCUGAUCCAGCCAUGCCGCGUGUAUGAAGAAGGCCUUAGGGUUGUAAAGUACUUUUGUUAGGGAAGAAAAGUCAGCUGUGAAUAAUGGCUGAUACUGACGGUACCUAAAGAAUAAGCACCGGCUAACUACGUG